rnacentral:lncRNA from 10 species
GAAACCCUGUCUCUACUAAAAAUACAAAAUACAAAAAAAAUCAGCCUGGCAUGGUGGCGGGCGCCUGUGGUCCCAGCUACUCUGGAGGCUGACGCAGGAGAAUGCCGUGAACCCGGGAGGCGGAGCUUGCAGAGAGCCGGAGAUCACGCCACUGCACUCCAGCCUGGGCUACAGAGCAAGACUCCGUCUCAAAAAAAACCAAAACAAAACAAAACAAAAAAAACACCCAGUUUUUCCAUGGAGUGAUAGAAUUUAAUUGAUGAGCUUGACGAGCUUAAUUACAGAAGGGAGAGCUCCAAAAUACAUGUCAUCACUAAGCAAGUUCUUCCCACUCAUGGAUUCUAGAGGAGUUCACCCAUGUCCAGAGAAAGUUUGCAAUUAAGGUCAUUCCUCGCUCAUUGGGAACACUGAGUCAAAGAAAAUAAGUUUGCAAGAAGACAAGGAAUGACCUGUAGGCAUACUAAGCCUGCAUUUGAGACUGACAAGGAGUGAGAGAUACUGUUUUGAGUGUGUGUGAAAAUGAAGAGAAUGAAUCAUCUUUUACUGAUUAUAAUCUAUAACUUGAGUUUGCAAGUCAAAGAACUUCUGAAACAGGGUUUCAGUUACUGCUCCUAGCAGGAUUCUCCAUUGCUACUCAUCAUAUUUUGUUAAGACAAACAGGGCUAUCAUGAAGCAGCAGACACCCCUGUCAUAUCAUGCGUGGAGGAGGAUCCAGCAUUUGUGAAAAUCACAGAAGAUCAUAUGAGAAGGCACCAUUUUAAUGAAAGAACAAGAAACCUGAAAUUCAAUAACAAAGCCUGAAGGCUAGAAAAGGUUAUGAAAUAGCCCAUGAUAAGCACAGGUGGAAAAUUGACACAAAGAGUUUUCUGCUAUGCCAAAUAAAUUUUGUUGUCUUUGUGUGUGUGUAUGCUGCGUAUCUUAAAACCAUAACAUUUUCACUGACAUUGAAUCAUCCUCCUCAGUAACUGAGGGAAACUUCCUUGGGAACCCACCUUAAAUUUUACCAUCUUUGGCAGCUUUUGAAAUGACUCUAUCUUCAAAUUCUUGAAUUUCCACAUUCUCUUCUCUGACUUUACCUUUGAUUAUUUUGCUCUCAGUAAAUCUGCAUCUCAGUCUUCCUCUUCUCAGUUCUAUCCUAGUGUACCAGCCCAUUAACCCCUGUUUGAUUUUAUUUGGCUCUCUUCCUCCAUGGGGCUACACGUAAGCCUCAUGCUCAUUGUAGUCCCUGUCUCUCUUCAACACUGGUAUCUUACCACCUCUCCAUAACUUCCCACUAUUUCUUUCUUGCCAAUCAUCAACCCUGUGUAAUAUCUACUGUCUUAUUUUCUUUGACGCUAGAAAUCAAGGCCCUGAUGGUCAAAGGCAUUAAACAAUCUAUGGGUUUGCCAUAAGUGCAUUAUGUGGUUUAUUAUUUUGCAGAUAUUUAAUGUGGUACAUGAUAAAAUGUUACUUUUUCUACUAAUCUUAUUUAUGUAGCCGAAAAUCUAGAAAAAUGUUUUUCUU